UAGUCCAUGCCGUAAACGGUGGGCGCUAGGUGUGGGUUUCCUUCCACGGGAUCCGUGCCGUAGCUAACGCAUUAAGCGCCCCGCCUGGGGAGUACGGCCGCAAGGCUAAAACUCAAAGGAAUUGACGGGGGCCCGCACAAGCGGCGGAGCAUGUGGAUUAAUUCGAUGCAACGCGAAGAACCUUACCUGGGCUUGACAUAUACAGGAUCGCGCCAGAGAUGGUGUUUCCCUUGUGGCUUGUAUAC
rnacentral:rRNA from 1 species